AACAAAGUAGAAAGUUCCUGGAUUGAGGUGGAAAAAUCAGUUUAACCUCCCUGGGCCUCAUCUACGGAAUGUAAGGGUUGGAUUAUGAUUUCACAGGUCAUAGCAUCCUACUAUUGUUUCUGCCUAAAAUAAGCAGCAAUAAGAAUGAGUGUGAGGAAGACCACAGCAGCAGGACCCACCUGUUUCUGAGGCCUAGGGAGAUGCAGUGAUAGAUUUCAGCUUAUUCCUCAUUCUCAGGUUUCUGUACCUUGACCCUCCAUAGAGUGAACUUCUAGGUUCUGAGCUGACUCCUUGGAAACCCUAGACUCCAGGGACGCGCUUCUAGAACCUGCUCAGAUUGCUACUCAGUUAACAGCCUGGCCCAGGAGGAUUGCAACACCCAGCCUGGCUCCCAGGCAAGCUAAAGAGGGCUUGAUGAUGGGAAGAGGUUAAGGGGUACGUGGAGAGAAAGAAGGAUCAGAAGGCGGAAACAUCAUAGACCUCCUGGGAUGCCUUCUGCAGGAUCACAGAGAAGGCAAAAUUUGUCCUCCUGACUACAAGAUGCCAAGAUACAUUUGUAUCGAGCCACUGAAUUCUCUACCCCUUCUGUAGAGGUGGUUGGGGAAGAGCUGCAGUAGGAAGCUGGGUCCCAAGUAAUGAAGGACCUUUAGAAGCAGAAGGUGUUAGGGUGGGGGCAAAGGACUGAACUCUGACCAACCAGAAGAAAGGAAAAACUGGAGUUCCUUUCCCCUAGGCUCCAGCCCUCACCAGCAGGGACUCAACAAACGCCAUCUGUCAGAUGAGUCAUGGGACCAGAAGCUUGGGAGAAGACAUGCAGAGCCAACCACUAACAAAACUGGCAAAUGAAAUAAAUGCCCAGAAACCUGCUCCAUCCCCAGCAUUCCUUAAGUCCUAUAAAUUGCACCACCUUUUACCAGUUUUCAGAAACUAAAAGUCAUCCUUGACAUCCGUCCAAUCAAUCACCUCCUAUUUAUCUCCCAAAUUCAUUCUUUUUUCUUUUUGAAACAGAGUUUUUACUCUUGUUGCCCAGGCUGAAGUGCAAUGGCACGAUCUCAGCUCCCUGCAACCUCCGCCUCCCAGGUUCAAGCCAUUCUCCUGCCUCAGCUUUCCUGAGUAGCUGGGAUUACAGGCAUGCGCCACUACGCCUGGCUAAUGUUGUAUUUUUAGUAGAGAUGGGGUUUCUCCAUGUUGGUCAGGCUGGUCUUGAAUUCCCAACCUGAGGUGAUCCACCCACCUUGGCCUCCCAAAGUGCUGGGACUACAGGUGUGAGCCAUUACACCCGGCAAAUUCAUUUUUAUAAUCUUGCCACCCCCACAACCACUGCCCUCAUGGACCCUGGGCACGCCUCACCCGAAUUACAGAAAUUCCCUCCCAGCUGGUAAAACUGUUUGUGUGUGGCUCUCCUUCAUUCCAUCCUCCCUGGUUUAGCCAGAGAAAUAAUUCUAAAAUGUACACAUCCCAAAGCAUCUCAUUUUCCUGCAUGCAGUCUUUCAUCAUCCAUUCACUAACUGGAGGACAACAUCUGAAUUUAUUAGUGAGCAUACAAAGGCUUUUCAUCCGCUGAACCCAGCGCAUCUGCUACCAUUUCCCUGGUCUCCGGUCAGAACUAGUGACUGUCCCAUAAACAGGUUCUGCUGGACUUCCAGUCAAG
rnacentral:lncRNA from 1 species